UACGUAGGGGGCAAGCGUUGUCCGGAUUUACUGGGCGUAAAGAGCGCGUAGGCGGAAGUUUAAGCGGUGCUUGAAAGCCCCCGGCUCAACCGGGGAGAGUGGUGCCGAACUGGACUUCUUGAGGGCGAUAGAGGAGAGUGGAAUUCCGGGUGUAGCGGUGAAAUGCGUAGAGAUUGGAAAGAACACCGAUGGCGAAGGCACUUUACUGGGCUAUUACUAACACUCAGAGACGAAAGCUAGGGUAGCAAAUGGG
rnacentral:rRNA from 1 species